UGCCAUACCAGCGGUGCUUCAAGAGAGCAUGAUUAACUCAAGCCCACCAGAAAAGGUAUUUCGUCUAAAAGGUGCUGACCACUCACCAUUUUUCUCAAAGCCUCAAGCCUUGCACAAACUAUUUGUAGAGAUCUCGAAACUCCCUUCACCUUGAGAGAUUCUAAUUGUCGGAUGUUUCAUGGGAGUCCCCCACUAGGGCAUCAUUUGAUGAGGUAUAGGGAAGUUAUCCUCUCGAAUUUGAGUGAACAUGCAGAUGCACAUACACAUACCGUAAAGAUGGUCUUUACUGCUUGACCGCUAGAUGGCUUAGACAUUUUGCAUCAGAGCACGGAGUAUGUUGAUAUCGCUUUCCUCGGUCCUUUUUUGUUUUUGGUUUUCCUUUCAUGAGAUAUUCAUAUUUAUGCUAGCGAAAGAAUUAACACUUCAGGGUUGCACAUAAAGCAGUAUCAGCCAUUCUUUCUGUUUGUUGAACCAAUUUCUCAUGUAACAUAUGCGUCUGAGCUUAAAGAUUGUUGGAUUACUGAAAUAAAAGGUUGAUAAUUUAUUACGAGAUUGAAUAUCCGUAAUAGAAACACAUUAAAAGUAUUGUUAUUAGGAUAAUAGAUAUUAUUAAUUAGUGUUUGAUCAUUGUAGUUGCCUCAUAACAAGUGCUGUGUAGAUACCAUCCUGUGUGAGAAGCUGUUCAUGAGUGCCACUCUCUGCUAUCUGACCAUCACAAAUAACGGCUACAUUGUUCGCAUUUUUUACUGUUGACAGCCUAUGUGCUAUGAUUAGAACAGUCCUACCAUUCAUCAAUGAAUCCAUAGCUUCCUAUCAAGCACCAUCACAUAAAUUAAAUUAAUAGUGAACCAGGCCUACAGGCCGAGGCAAGCUGAAAAUGAGCCAAUCUGCCCAACCCGGAGACAGGUUUAUGAAAAGCAGCUCAGAGUCUGACCUGAACUAGGUAUUCACUCUCAGCAUCAAUAGCACUUGUGGCUUCAUCCAAAAGCAAUACACUGGGAUUCAUUAACAGUGAUCUUGCAAUCGCUAGUCUUUGUUUUUGACCUCCUGACGGCCUCAAACCCCGUUCUCCCACAACUGUUUCAAAUUUCUCAGGAAAUUUUUCAAUGAAUCCAUGGGCAUUCGCCAUUUUGCUGCACCCAUCUUAUAUGCACACGUAUUUUUUUUAAAAAAAAAUGAAUCUACUACUGUUUCAUUUAUCAUUGGUAAAAAGGAUUAUAAUCAUCAACUUACAACCACAUAUUGUAUCUCAGUUUUGCCGACUUUGCCAUUGACUCCAUACCCAAUGUUCUCCUCUAUGGAACAAUUGAAAAGAACUGGUUCCUGGCUAACUACGCUAACCUGUAUUUAGCAAAACAAGACCAACAAUAAAGGUCUGAAAAUAUAACACCUAAAGUAUAAACACGAGAAAAUGAGUGGAGUUUUGUAUGGAAGGCAUAUAAACAUUGAGAAAGAUCAGCAAAAAGGACUCCACCUUUCUAUGAAGAUAUUGAUGUGAUAUUUCCAGUAAAGAAACCCCAUUUAACAAAAUCUUUUCCUUGAGAGGAUCGUAAAACCUUUCGAUUAAGUUUGCUAUUGUCGUCUGCAAUAGAUUGGAGAUUCAUGUUGGUGUUUGAAACAAUGUUAAGCAAGCAGAGUCGAAAGCUUGUGUUCCAAGCCUCGUGACUUGGUGAAGAAACAAAAGUAGAAAUUUGCUUGAGAACAAGAACCGAAUUGAAAGCAAGAAAAAUGGAGCAUAAAAAUGAAUGAAAUCUGAUAAUUUUCAUUAACAAGAAACAUUGGCAUAUAGCCAUUACAUAUAUCAGUCAUUAACUGAUCAAAACAAGACAAACUUCACCUAAUGCUUACCUAAUACCACUAAUUACGUGAAAACUAGGAAAAAUAACUUGUACACAUAAACAAAGCUGAUUUAUCAGCUCAAUCACCACCUAAUUACAUCAAUCAUGAAUCAAACAUGAAUCAAACAUAGUUCUAAAUGAACUAGAACUUCAUUACAUCAACUAAGGUAACAAAAUGAAACAAAAUGGAACUUGAUGGCAGAAGUUGCAUUCGAUUCUGCUGCUCCUGCAUGAUUUGGUGUGCAUGGCCAGCUUCUUGGUGCUGCAUGCUGACCAAUUCUUUAACACUCCUCCUUAGUUGGCAUGCUGCUGACUCCAAGUUCUUUUCUAAGCUUGAUGAACCUAGACGCAUUAAGGGCCUUUGUAAAAAUGUCAGCAAUUUGAUCUUCUGAAUUGCAAUGAAUCAACUUUAUCUCUCGAGCUUGUUCCAUCUCUCUUACCACAUGCAACUUGAUGCAUAAAUGCUUGAUUCUACCAUGGAAGACAGGGUUCUUUGCAAUUGCAACAGCAGAUUUGUUAUCACAAAAGAUCUCUGUUGCUUCCUUUUGAUGCAGGUUCAAGUCAGCUAAAAUCUUCUUUAGCCAAAUGGCUUGAUUAACAGCUUGGCAGUGGCAACAUAUUCAACUUCUGCUGUUGACUGUGCAACUAUCGAUUACUUCUUAGAACUCCAGCAAAACAUAGCUGAACCAAGGGUAAAAGCAUACCCUAAGGUACUCUUCACAUCAUCUUUUGAACCAGCCCAGUCACUGUCCGUGUAGCCUAUCAGUUUCAGAUCUUUACUUCUACUGAAUUUGAGUCCAUAGCUUAAGGUACCAUUGAUGUACCUGAGUACUCUUUUUGCUGCUUGAUAAUGCUGCUUGUUGCAGCAAUGCAUGAACCUCAAUAGCAUACUCACAACAAACAUAAUAUCUGGUCUUGUUGCUGUUAAAUACAAUAGGCAACCAACAAGACUUCUAUAAUCAGACUCACUCACUUGCUCAUAGUCUUCUUGACUUGAUAGCUUCAUUCCAACAGCCAUAGGUGUGCUUGUUGGUUUGCAAUUCUCCAUAGAGAACUUGCUUAAGAUCUUUGCAGCAAAUGUUUUUUGUCCCAAGAAGAUUCCUCUUUGAGUUUGUUGCACCUCCAUUCCAAGAAAGUAAGUCAUCUGUCCCAGGUCAGACAUUUCAAACAUGUCCUUCAUUUUGGCCUUGAAGUCAGCCAAUAUGAUUUGGUUUCCUCUUGUCACCAGAAGAUCAUCAACAUAUAGGAACACAAUGAGCUGUGUUUCAGCUUGUUUCUUCUUGACAUACAGAGUUGGCUCACUGAUGCUUCUCUCGAAUCCCAAACUAACCAAGUAGCUGUCAAUUCUUGCAUACCAAGCUCUAGGAGCUUGUUUUAGGCCAUACAAGGCUUUUUUAAGCUUGUAUACAAUGUCCUCUUUUCCAGACACAACAAAGUCUUGGGGCCGAUCAAUGUAGAUUUCUUCUUCAAGGAAGCCAUUGAGAAAUGUAGACUUUACAUCCAAUUGAUGAAUGAUUUAUUGCCUUUGUGCAGCUAAAGCAACUAGCAACCUGAUUGUGUCUAGCCUGGCUACUGGUGCAAAAGUCUCCAUGUAGUCCAGGCCAUAUCUUUGACUGAACCCCUUGACAACAAGCCUAGCUUUCAGCUUGUUCAAAUUGCCAUCAGCAUUUUGUUUGGCUCGAUAGACCCAUUUAACACCAAUGGUCUUUCUGUUGGCAGGCUUUUCUACUAGCUCCCAUGUCUGAUUCUUUUGAAUCAUCUUGAUUUCAUUAACCAUGGCUUGCUUCCAACCUUCAUAUGCUUGAGCUUCUUCAAAGCAGCUAGGUUCUUCUUGUGCAACAUGAGCCCUCUCAUAAAUCUCAGUCAGAGUCCUUGUACCCUUGACAGGUUCAUCAUCAAUGUCCAUAUCAAGACCAUUUUAAUCAGAUUCAAGCUGAUCUGAUAUAAGUUCUUCAAGAAUGGCCUCAGGUUCAUUUCUUUCCCAAUUCCAGUAUGCUUUCUCAUCAAACACCACAUCCCUGCUCACUUGGACUUUAUUUGUUGAAGGAUCCAAGAUCCUAUAACCCUUUUUGACUGAACUGUAGCCUACCAGAAUACCAGGUUUGGCCCUUUUUGACAACUUGUCCUUCUUCACAGUUGGUACAUGGCUGUAACAUAGGCAAUCAAAGACCUUCAAAUGAGCCAAUGAUGGCUUAAGCCUGAACCAUACCUCAAAUGGAGUUUUAUGAGCCAAUGCUUUGGUUGGUAGCCUGUUCUGAAGGUAUACAGCAGUGUUAACUGCUUCAUUCCACAUGGUCUUGGGCAAAUUUUUUUGAAAUAGAAGGCACCUGGCCAUAUCCAUAAGACUUCUAUUUUUCCUUUCACUGACCCCAUUCUGCUGAGGUGUAUAAACAUUGGUUAGCUGAUGUUUGACACCAUCAUCAUUGCAUAGAGCUUGGAACUGAGCUGAGGUAUACUCAGCUCCAUUAUCUGACCUGAUGGUCUUCAAUUUACAGCCUGUUUCUAUUUCAGCUGCAGCUUUGAACUUCAUAAAACUUGAGCUACCUCAGACUUGUGCUUCAAAAAUUAAAUCCAGCAAUAUCUGGUAUGAUCAUCAAUAAAUAGAAUGAAAUACUUACUUUCAUUCAGUGAUUCUGACUUCAUGGGACCACAUACAUCAGUGUGAACCAACUGCAAUCUUUCAGUGGCUCUCUAGGCCUUGUUGGUUGGGAAUGGAAGUCUAGCCUAUUUUCCAAGUUGACAAACCUCACAAACGUCAUUAUGUUCAACCUAAUUGGUGAAGUUUUCAACCAAUUUUUCACUGGCCAUUCGAGUCAAUGCCCUGAAGUUGGCAUGACCAAGCCUUUGAUGCUAGAGCUUGGAUUCUUCAGUAGCAGCAACACAAGCUGAAUGUGUGUCACUUGGCCAGUUAACUUCAAAGUAUUUAUCAGUCAUACUGACUUUCAUAAAGUUUGAUCCAUUUGAAUUAGCAAUUUGGCACUGCUGGCCCUUGAACACAACAGAAUAGCCCUUUUCAAGCAGUUGGGAAAUGUUGAGAAGGUUUCUGUCAAUCUCAGGCACCAGCAGCAUAUUUUUGAUGACUUUGUCUCCUGUGGGAGUGCAUAUUAGCACAUCUCCCUUUCCUUCAGCCUUGAUGAACUGACCAUUUCCAAUUUUCACUUUGGUUUUACAAGAUUUGUCCAAAGUUUUGGAAAUGUUUGCAUCUGGUGACAUACGGUUGGUGCAGCCACUGUCUAGUAACCACCCUUUUGAACCCUUGCUCUGACCAGGUAAGCAUGACACAGCAAAGACCUGCUCUUCAUGGUCACUGCUGUCUUCAGCCACUCGAGCUUCAACAUCCUUGUGUUGUGCUUUGUUUUGUCCAGGUCUGCCUUUUUCUUUACAGACCCUUUCAACAUGGCCCUUCUUCUUGCAAUGUUGACACAAGACAUCUGGUCUGAACCAGCAUUUGGCCUUUGGAUGACCAGGCCUUUUACAAAAUCUGCAGAGUUGGUCUCCCAUUCUUGCAGCAUCAGACUUAGGCCUGCUUCUCCAGUUCUUCUUGCCUUUAUAGGCUGAGGUGCUCGAGGCUACUUUGGCCUUGGCUUGGAAAGCACCCUCCUAGUGCUCUUCCAUCCUGCUAGCUUUCCUUUGUUCCUGAACAUAGAAGGCAUUAAUAAGCUCAGUUAGAGAGACGCUUGCGAGAUCUUUCGAAUCCUCCAGGGAUGAGAUUUUUUGCCUCAUAUCUUUCAGGCAAUGUUGAGAGCACCUUUUCCACAAUCCUUGCCUCACUGAACUGUACUCCUAGCAACUUUAUGCUGUUUACAACAGCCAUGAUUCUAUCCGAGUACUGCUUCACUGUCUCUUCCUCCUUCAUUUUCAAAUUUUCAAAAUCUCUCUUUAAAUUCAACAACUGCUGCUGCCUUGUCCUUUCUGUGCCUUAAAACUCCUCCUUAAGCUUGUCUAAGGCCUAUUUUAGAGUCUCACAGGCCAUGAUUCUGGUGAAAAUUACAUCAGACACACAGUUUUGAAUACAAGACAUAGCCUUAUGCCUUUUGGUCCUCUCAUCUGCAUGCUGUUUAAUUUGAGCCACUGUAGGGUUGGCUCUGAGUGGAGCUGGCUCAGCAUCAGUGUUGACAACUUCCCAUAGAUCAAAGGUCUGCAGGUAAGUCCUCAUCUUGACAACCUAUAUGUGGAACCCUUCACCAUUAAAGACUGGUGGUGCUGUAGGAGAGAAGCCUGAUGAAGCCAUUCAGUUUAAGAUUCAACUACAACAGGUCCUCUAAGAUGGAAGUUCUAGAUACCAAUUGUUGGUGUUUGAAACAAUGUUAAGCAAGCAGAGCCAAAAGCUUGUGUUCCAAGCCUCGUGACUUGGUGAAGAAACAAAAGUAGAAAUUUGCUUGAGAACAAGAACCGAAUUGAAAGCUGUAAUGACCCAAAAUUCACGGGCAUCGGAAAAGUACAUUAACAGGCCUCUGUCUUAGUAAAUCGAGUUCGAAAUAAUUACUAGAAAUAUUUAUGAGUUUAGCGAUGUGUUUAAUUAGGUUUAAAUUAGGUGAAUUUAGCUUAAUUAAGAGUAAUUAGGAAGAAUGACUAAAUUGAAUAAAGGAUGAAAGUUAAAUUGUAGAUUAAAAGAAAAUGAAGAGGACCAAAAUGGCAAUUAUGCCAUUUGUCCUAAGUGAGGCGGCAUAAACAUAAAAAUCUGAGAUUUUUAUGUUUUAAAAUAUAUAUUAAAUUAUUAUUAUUAAAAGUAAAGUAAAUAAAAAGGAAAUAAAGGAAAGAAACAAAAGAAUAAAAAGAAGGAAGGAAACAGAAUAGCAGGAAACGAAACAAAGAAGAAACAGGGGAGAAAGAAAGAAAGAAAAGAAAAAGGGAAAAUAGGGUUUUUGAAGCUUGGAGUUUAAUUGGUAAGUUCAAUCAUGUCCUUUUCUCUUAAUUUUGAUGUUCUAAAAGUAUUAAAACAAGGUUUUGAUAGAACUAAGUUAGUAGUUUAGAAGUUUUUAAGUUUUUAAACAAAGUUCAUGUUGAACAAAAUGAUGAAAUAGGGGUUUAAUUGAAUGAAAUUAAGUUAGAAUAGAGAUUGAAAUGUAAAGUAAACUUUAAGUUAUGUGUUUUAGGGAUUAAAUGGAAAUAAAUUCGAAAUUAUGAAAAUAUGCUGGAAAUUUAAUAGUUAAGUAUGAGUUUGGACAAAAUUUGAAUAGAAAUAAAGUAUGAAUUAAGAUAGAAAAGUAAGUGAAUUUAGUUAGGAUUAAAUUGAAAUUAAAGUAAAUCAACAUUUUGUACUAAGACUAUUUUGGACAGCAGCAGUAGUCUAAGUUUGAAAAAUCACCAAAAAUUGUAGAAAUUAAAUUAUAGGAUGAAUAAAAUAUGGAAUUAAAUCUUAUUGAGUCUAGUUUCUUAUAGAAGAAACGAUAUAAGCAAUUGAAUUGUAAAUUAAGAGAUAUAAUGAAUUUUGUGAGACAAGGUCAGAAUAAAUUCGGGUUCCCAUGUUCUAACUUUGAAAAAUCAUUAGAAAUUGUAUAAAACUAAUUAUAGGUUGGAAUUUAUAUGUUUAAAAUACUUAUUGAACCUAUUUUCAAGAUAAUUAAACGGGAACAUCGUUCGAAUCUUGUAAAAGGAGAUAAUCAAUUUUUAGUGAAAAAUGGUCAGAACUGUUUGACAGCAGAACAGGGGCAAUUUUAAAGAAUAAACUGUACUUAUUGGCUUAACCAAAAAUUCUAAAAAUUUCAUGGUAAGAAAAUAUGUGAGUCUAGUUUCAGGGAAAAUUAGUGGAUCUUAAUUUGGAGUUUCCUAGCUCAAGAUAUAAAUGAUUUAGUAACAAUGACUCAAGUAGACAGCUUUGAAUGAACAUAUAAGUAAAUAGUGGAAUUAUGUGUAUAAAAAUGGUUAAAUUUGCAUGUUUAGGCUCAUGGAUUAAAUUGAAUUGUGUUAUAUUGAUGAUUAUAAAUUAUUAUUAUUUUCGUAGUUAACAAAGAACCCAAGACAUCGGCGUACAAAGGAAAGGAGAAAGCUGUCGAGGAUUAAAACGAGAAAUUUACGGUUUGUAUUACUAUAAUUCAAAUUACUUUUUAUUAAAUGUUUUAUAUCAAUUCUAUAUUUAAUAAGUGAAUUAUAAGGUAAGUAUUGAUAUUUGAGUUGAAUGAGAAUUGAAUUGGAUAGUGAAUGUGUAUGUAUAAUUGAAUUGUAAAUUGAAUUGAAUGUGAAAAUUUUAAUUGAAAAGUAAUCUUGGAAUGGAAAUGAAAGUGAAUUGAGAAUUGAAAUACCCUAUUAACUAGUCGGGCUAAGUCGGAUAUAAUUGGCAUGCCAUAGGAUCUGGAAGUGUACGGGAAUUUGCCGGCUUUACUGAUCAGGCACUUUAUGUGUCGUAUUUCAGGCACCUCGUGUGUCGUAUCAGGCACCUCGUGUGUCGUUUUAGGCACUUUAUGUGUCGUAUACUGAUCAGGUACUAUGUACCGUUUUAGGCACAAUGUGCCGUACUGGUGUGUUGGGUUGGAAUCCGUGUAUCCGUCAAAGUCCGGAUUUGUUAAUAGGGUGAAUAUCUAAAAUGAGAAAUUAAAAUAAAUUGAUUGAUUAUAUUAUUGAAAUAUUGAAAGAAACGAAAAAGUUGAAUAGUGGAUUGAAAUUGAGAUUGAAAAUGAAAGGCAUGAACUUAAUGUUCAUGUAGUGAUUGAAAUUGUUACAUGUAAUAUGUGAUGGAAACUGAAGAAUAGAUAAAAAUUGUAUCGUUAUUAUUAAUUAAUGAAAGUUUAAGAAUGAAUUGAUAUUUGUGAAAUUAGAUAGUUAUAUGUUUGGUAAUUAAAAUUCUUUAUUGCUAUUAUAAUUUGAAUUAUGGUAAUACCGCUGAGUACGGAAUACUCAGCGUGCGGUUGUUUCUGUGCGCAGGUUAAUAGGAGUCUAGUAUCCCGGUCCAGCAUCUGAACGAUCCCGACUCCAGCAAAUUUUGGGUGAUGUUUUCUUUCUUAAUUGAAAGUGGCAUGUACUAGGUGUUGUAUAAGUUAUAUAGAUAUACUUGUAAAGUUGGUUAUAAGAAUGGUAUACCAUAUUUUGUUAUUCGUUUGAUAAAAUGGUAAAUAUUAUACUAUAUAAUUUGGUAUAAGUUGGAAUGAAAAAUGAAUGAAAUUAUUAGUUAAUUUGGAUUAAUAUUAUGAAUGUUUAGUUAUUAAAUGACUAUGUUAAUGAAUUGGUUAUGAUUUAGAUAUAUUUAGGUUUAAAUUGUUUUUGAUUGUGCCAUUGGUUUUGGAUUAGUUGGUUUUUGGUUUGAAUUUGCAGGGGGUUUUAUGUAAAAAUUAAGAAGAAAUGCUGUCGAAAUUUUUGUAAAAAUAAAAAAAAUCUCUGAAUACUCGAACAAGUCCCGUUCCAUUCCACUUUAAUACUUGUGUUGGGCUUCGAAAGUCCAUUAUAGGGACAUAAUUCUUCAAUUAUACUAUGAAUGUUAUAAUAAUUGUAAAAUAUCCAUAAGUUGUCUAAUAUAUCCGGUAAUGCCUCGUAGCCCUGUCCCGGCGACGGUUUGGGGUUAGGGGGUGUUACAAAAGCAAGAAAAAUGGAGCAUAAAAAUGAAUGAAAUCUGAUAAUUUUCAUUAACAAGAAACAUUGGCAUAUAGCCAUUACAUAUAUCAGUCAUUAACUGAUCAAAACAAGACAAACAUCACCUAAUGCUUACCUAAUACCACUAAUUACAUGGAAACUAGGAAAAAUAACUUGUACACAUAAACAAAGCUGAUUUAUCAACUCAAUCACCACCUAAUUACAUCAAUCAUGAAUCAAACAUAGUUCUAAAUGAACUAGAACUUCAUUACAUCAACUAAGGUAACAAAAUGAAACAAAAUGGAACUUGAUGGCAGAAGUUGCAUUCGAUUCUGCUGCUCCUGCAUGAUUUGGUGUGCAUGGCCAGCUUCUUGGUGCUGCAUAACAAUUCAGCUUUCAGUAAUUUGUUAGUCCAAGAAGUGUCAAGGAAGGAAAAGGGGAUGGCAAUAUUUACUUUUCCACCACCACUGGGUCCAACAAGGGCAACUUUUGAGCCAGGCUUUAGUUUCGUAGUUAUUCCCUGCAGUUCCAUUCAGAUUUUACAUUAUCUAGUGAAUGUAUGCAUUGUUGUUACUUAAAUAUAGUAAAUCUAUUAUUAUCAGUUAAAGCUUGAUAAUUGGUACUUCAAUUCAAUACAACAUCAGAUCUUUCUAGCUCGAAUAUUCAUUAGAUUAUGCAUUCAUUGCUCUAAUCGGCUUUUGGAUAGCACUUUUCUUCUAACCUUGCACGUGAGGUACACAUUAAAAUAAUUUGAAACUUAGUCUAUUUUCUAAACUUUUUUUUUUAUUUGAUAAAAAACCGACAAAAGAUUCAGAAUUUGCUAUUAGAACAUUUUGAUUUUGCCCUUGUUUUAAUUUUGAUAUUCUUCAAGUCUUAAAAGGAAGGAGCUAACUGAACAAAAUCAAAAACCAUUGAAUCAAUGCACAAUAUUGAGGCAAAACAUGGGUUAGUUUGCUAGAGUAGAAUAUGUUCUAUUAAACUCCUUUUUUUGUGUGUCUGUGCGUGUGUAACGGUAUAUGAUAUUCUUUAAAUUCAUUUGUGUAGCAGAGAAACCAUUACCUUAAGUACCAUAUGACUUGGCCGAGAAGGAUAAGCAAACCAGACAUCAUCCAAUUCUACAUCUCCAUCUGGAUUUCUGCCAUUCACAGCAUAACAUGUUUAUUUAACAUGAUGGUCCAUUGGGUUAACUUGCAUGACAUAAAUAAAGUUUAAGCCUCUUUUUAGCAUUUCUCAUACAAUGUUGUGUUACAGCCUGCCAUAGGUGUAAACUAGUGGAAUUUAAAUUUAAUGAAAUUGUAAUUUGACUAACCCCACUGUGUUACAGCCUGCCAUAGGUGUAAACUAGUGGAAUUUAAAUUUAAUGAAAUUGUAAUUUGACUAACCCCACUGGACACUUAUCUCCUGGUUUUGGCAUGCCUGAGACACGAUCUAAUAGCUGGAAAACCCUCCUACUUGACCCUGCAGCUUUCAUGGCAGAUACAUAUGAUCCUGAUAAUGAGGACACUGAGGAUCCAACUGCAGGUAAAUAGAAGAUUGUUUAUCACAAACAUGUCAUGCAAAUAACUGUUAAUAUGUUCCGACCAAAGUUGCAGAUCGAACAUAAGAGUUGUCUGGAACUUGUAUAGUACCUGUGAGACUAUAAAGGAUGAAAGAUGUAAGAGAACCAGCGGUCAUGGAUCCAGUUAUUGUCAAGUAGGCUCCAUAGCUCACCACUAUAAAAAUUGACAGUUUGGAUGCAGCGUUCUGUCCUCCAAAGUACAGACCAACUACUUUCUGUUGUAGAAAACAGGAGUGAAGACUUAAGCUAAACAUCUAUGCAGAGAUUUAAGUUGCAGUCGAACUGCGUUCGUGAUUUAACGAAUACAAUUGCAACUAACUAAAUUGAAUAUCAUUGAUGUAAAGAGAUAAAACCACAAAAAUAACAAUUGUAAUAUCGUGUUCCGGCCAUCUGUGUGUGGUUGAGAGAUAGAAAGGACACUCACAGCUCGUUUGAGUCCAAUCUUCAGUCUUUCAUCAACCUUCUCGGAGUACUUGGAGACUGCAUAGCCUUCUUGAGCAAAAGAUCUAAUUGUUCGAAUAGCUCCAAAAGAUUCCUAAACGUCAAGCGGUUUGUCAUGAAGGACAGAAUUUUCAAAGCUUUUCAGUUUUGAAGCACGUUACAGUUCUUACAAACCUCAGCAACCGAGGCAGCCACUGCAGCUGCAGCUUGUAUUGUGUGUGAAAGUUGUUUGAGAUAUCGUCUGAAUCUACGCAUGGUGACUGCGGUAACCGGAACUACCACCAAGGAUAGCACUGAACACAAAUAAUAGCAAUUGUGACUGCUAUAACUCUCAACAUUAAUGAAAACUUGUUAAGCAAGCAAAACCAGAGAACAUACAUGUCAGCUUCCAUGAUGAUGAAAACAUGAAGCCAAUGCCAAUAAUGGCACUUGUUAGAUUCCGAAGUGCCUCUGAAAGAUUGGAUGUUGCUGCAGUUUUAAUGAUCUGUGUGUCCGCAGAUAGCCUGCUGAGGAGUUCGCCUGUUGAAGUAACAUCGAAAAAGGCUAUUUCCUGUUGCAGAAUUUUAGGAUAAAAACUGCUGAAAUAUUGAGUGCUGGGCAAAGGGUAUUAAGAAAGAACAGCCGAAUAACUUGCAGACCAUGGACACCGGCACUCAACUUGCGAGAAAUUAUCCGCUUUGACUAGAAAACCUCACAUUUUUGUCCUUUACAAGUAUGGGCAUAAGUCUCUACAUAUAUCUGACAUGAUAGGCCUUACCUGAUGGAUAAGGUGAGUGAACAACUUAAGCCUUAGUCUAGCAACAAUCCUUUCACCAGUAGAAGAAAACAACCAUGCUUGAACUGCUCUGCAUAUAGACCUAAAUAGGAUGGGUAAAAGAAGAACCUUAAGAUUCGAUUUAUUCAUUUUAACAAGUUAAAAAUCAACUAAUAUCGGCUCAACCAACUACUACAGAGUCAAGACUAAAUCCAUUCUAUUUAAGCUAUCAAUUAGUAUUCUCCUGUUGGUACUAAUCUUCAAUUAGAUUUUAUAUCAUGUUGUUUGAAAUUUUUGUUUUUCUAUAUUUGUUCCCUAUACACAUUUGGAUAUAGCAUGGGGUAUGAUCUUUCAAGGACCCUUAAAUAUAAAAUCCUUCAAAAGAUCGAAUAUUUUCGUUUUGGAUUCAUAUUCAUAUCCAACACUUGCAUUAUUAAAGUUCGAGUAACAUAGGUUAAUAUUGUACUGCUCUGUUCUAUAAAAUGCCGUAACUUGCAUAGAAUAGGCUUUUGAAGCCCAAACCCGUUCUUUAUCUUCACUUAAAAAUAGCAAUUUUGAUGAAGUAAAGCAUGCAUUUGACAUCCAUCUCAAAAGUUCAAAAUUUUACUUGUAAAAUAUGGAUCCCAUGUUGAAGCAUGAUAGAUACCCAGAUUUGGUUCUUACCAGCUCUCUGAUCUUUCUAAAGGUAUCAAUACUAUUGAAAGGAACCCCGAAUGGUUUUUACUUGCAAAGUACAGUCUUUAGCAUAGACCAAGAAAGGAGCACUGCCUUGUGAAGCAUUUCAACAAAAAAGUGUGUAUAAAAGGAAAAUGUGAAAGGGAAAGUUACCCUAUUACAAUUAUCAGAAGAAUAUGUUACGGUGUUUUUGAUGGCAUCCAAAGCUUGUGAUUGCUGUUGUGGGGUCUUUAUUUCUCUUGAUACGAUGUCUAUAAUCAUUCCACCAUAUUUAGGCUGCAAGAUAAUUACAUAAGCUUCUGACUUGUUAUCCAGUUUCUCAUCUUGUAAUUCAUUAACAUAGGGAAAGAAAGGAACAACAUACAAUCAAGAAACCCGAUGCAGAUGCUAUAAGCUUCCCAGCAUCUGGUUUUGCCUACAAAUUGCAGCCAACUCAAUAGGUACUAUGCAAAGAGAAUAAUGAAAAAACAUAUUUCUGACUAACCAGUGAAAAUACUCUGGACAAUCCAACAUUGGCUGCCUGAAAAUGUUCCACAUAAAAGAUUUAAGUAAAUAAAGCCUGCUUCACAGCUGGGAAAUAAAAAUAUGGAACAAAUAUCCAUCACCUCAACACCAAUGUCAUGCUCAGGAUUUGAUAUGGGGCAGUUUGAUGAUUGGUUAUCAUUUGCCUGCAUAAAUGGAACUGUAUUUAUAACAUUGUACUAUACAAAAUCACCUUCUAAUCUUUAAUUAGUAUACGAUAUGCUCAUGCAUUGAAACAUAUAUAUAUAUAUAUAUAUUUUUUUUUUUAAAAUGUAGUAAAAACAAGAAACAAACUCAAGUAGAAUGUUGAAAAAUAAAAUCCUAGAAAAACAUGAUACAAAUCCAAACAAAUUUCCUUGUACAAAAGGGGGGACUCUUUCACUGCCUGGAGGAGAAUGCAACUUCUGUUUCUUCCCCAUUUGAAAAUAAAAAUUCAAAAUUGAUAAACAAAUGCAACAAUGGAAAUUGCUUCUGCAGUAUUUCAUGGGAUUAUAAACAAAGAAGGGGAAAUUGUUAUUUUUUAUUUGGUACAUUGUUGGCUUUAUGGCAUGUUUCAUGAGGCCUUCUACAUCAAUAAACUAGGAAAAAAAACUGCAAUCAAUUCUUUUUUUUUUUUUAUGAUUCUAGUCGAAAAAAAAAAGGGGAUUUUAUUAUGUAAAAAAGGUUUUUUUUAGUAAUCUUCAUCUCUACUAUUUUUAAAGUUAUGUCUAUAAUUAUUUAUAGUGCUUCUCUAACAUUUAAAUAAGAAUAUAAUACAUUUCAGCACAUUUAAAUUUACGUCCUCUUCUACUAACAACAGUAUUCAUACCAAUCAAGUUAAGACUCAACCCAAAAAGAAAAAAAUUAAUUAAUUUAUUAUUAUUUGAAAUGGUAAGGAUUUAAAAGAAUAAUAUUUAAUAACUUGUUGUGUUUAAUGCUUGUUUUAGAGGAAAGGUAAGGUGAUGAGCAUGAAUCAUCUUUGUCUUGGAUUGCUGACCUUUUGUUAGUGAUGUAUAUAAUAAAUUGAUAAAUUUAUGAAUAUCAGUUGAAUUAAUCAAUUUUAUAUGGAAAAAUCUAAAUAAUCGAAUUCAAUAUUAUCGGCUUGAUAACUGUUGCGACUUUUUCUUUACUUUUUAAAUUUAUUUUAUUUAUAAAAAUAAAAAAAUUACAAUUACAAUUAUAAAAUUUCAUAAGUCUUAACCAUAUUUAAGUUAUAGAAAGUUAUUAUAUUUGCAUCUAACGACCUCGUGAUCUUAUUUUGUGAUCUUCAUACCAUAUUUUUUAUAUUUUCUAUGAUUCCUAAGUUGAGAAUCCUCAUAAUUGAUGUCCUAAGAAUACCGAAUCAAUAAAAAGACACCAUAUAUCAUUUUAGGAAGGACCAAAGGCACUCUUAAUGGUGAAUUCUAGGACAAAGUUUUGAGGGGUCUAGAAAAGUUUAAAAAAUUUGAGAAGUUUAAUGAGAAUUUUUUUAUAAAAAAAAUUGGGGUCUAAUUAAAUUUUUAAAUUUUUUUGUGAGAUUAAUGAGAAUUUUUAAAUAUUUUAAUUGUGUUUAAUUAAAAUUUUCAAAAUAAAUUAAAAGGUAUAAUGAGAACUUUUAAAAAUUUUUAAAGUUUGGGGUUCAAGAUUCAAGGUUAAGGUUGAGGAUUUGAGCUUUUAGGUUUCGAGAUUUAAGAUAAAAAAAUAUCAAAAUUAUGUAUCAAUAAUAUGUAAAAAAUUCUGAAAUAUCAUUAAACAAUUAAAAAGAAAUUAUGAAUAAUAUGGUGAAAAAAGUCUAUAAAAUAAUUAUAUUUUUGUCUUGGUAUAAUUAUAUAAUAUAUUUUUGAAACAAAAAUCAAUUGAGAUCAAGGAUGGAAUAGUAAAUAGAUUCCCAAUUUCCCCAACUCUCCUUUUUUGCAUUUAAGUGAUCCCUUUCAGCUAACAACUCCAAUCUUAUUUGUUUAGUUACCUCAUUUCCUUUGUAAGCAAAAAGUGAAAGAAAAUGAGGGCUGUUAAUAAGAGAGAAGAAGGUUUAAUCUAUCUAUCAUUAUUAUUUGUAAUGGCAAUAUUACUCUUCAACGCCAAAUGUUUCAGAGUUGCUGUGUUAGCGGAGAAGGCUUUCAGGGGUAGCCACUGUGGCGGUGACAGUGUAGGGCUGGACGAUGAUGACUACAGCAGCUUCAUCGGUGACGAUAUGGAGCUGGAGAUGUUGAUGGAUUCCUACAUCCGCCGAGUGCUCGACGGUAGCAACGGAAAUUCAAAAACUGAUCCCACUAAAAACGCUAAAAAAACUCCAAGUUGUGGCAAGGGUAAACCAUAUGGUCAGUGCAUGGAUGAUGACCAGAAUGUUGCUGACAAUUGCGGUUUAUACCACCGUACUUGCCAGGGAUCGUCAUAAUAUAAAAGGAAAGAAAGUAAGUUUGGUCAGUCUUUUUUAUUAUCUUGAGUCUCUUCCCCUCCCUUUUAAUCCUUUGAUCCAUUGUGGCUGCCGGUCAUCGUCCGGUUUUCUUUUUCUUUUUUUGCUUUUCUAUUUGUUUUCUUUGUUUCCGGCGGAAUAAAGUUUGGACCAUGCUGUCUCUCGUUAUUUCAUCUUGUGGGGGUUCCCCCUUCCCACUCAGAACAUCGGGCUUGGCCCUUAUGACUUCUAUCGGACAGCCACGAUCCUCAGUUUGCUGUGCACCGCUGUCACUUUGGUCCUCCGCUAGUGAUUCACCACACCAGCUUGUUCGAUUGGUGACUGAGGUCGCUUAGAUGACCGCGGAUUCCUCCUCCCUCGCCGGCUCCCUUCUUUCUCCAUGGUGCUUGACGGUGUAAUUAUGUACUAUUUUUCGCAGGAUGUGGUUUGAAUGUAAUUAUUUUAAAGCCUUCCGGGGGAAUAGAAAAGUUGAAAGCAAUUUUCUUGGAUUUUUUUUAUAAAACUAACCCAAAAAAUUUAAUUAAUUAUAUAAAUAAUCUAAUUUUUUAAUUAAACACGUAAAUGACCUAACAUUUAUAGUAAAAGUUGAUGGAGAUAAAAAGUUUUGCGCCACUAGCAUGUUACGUCAACAAUCAAGAUAAAAAAAAUCAAAUUUUUAGUUGAGCCGUGUAGAAUGGCGCUACUUAUACAAAUACUAGAGAAAUAUUAUAAUUUUUGAAAAAUAGAGAGACUUUAAAAUAAAUUUUCCCAAUUAUAUUAAAAUUUUAAAAUUAGUUAUACUCAACAUUUUCUUUAAUAUAUUUAAAUUUUAAUAUAUUUAAAUUUUUUAAGUUUUUAAAAAUUUUAAAUACAUUAAAAAAAUUUAUCUUUACCUAUUAAAAAUAUUUUAAAAUAUUGAAUAUAUUAAAAUUUUAAAAUUAGUUAUAUUUAACUUUUUUUAAUAUUUUUAAUUUUUUAAAAAUAAAUUAAAAUUUUAAAAUUAGUUAUACUUAACAAAUUUUAAUAUAUUUAAAAUUUUAAUAUAUUUAAUUUUUUUAAGUUUUUUAAAAUUUUAAAUAUAUUAAGAAAUUUUUUUUGUUUUUACCUAUUAAAAAUAUAUAUUAAGUAUAUUAAAAUUUUAAAUAUAUUAAACUUUUAAAAUUAAUUAUACUUAACUUUUUUUAAUAUAUUUAAAAUUUUAAAAAAUUUUAAAAAAAAUCACAUUGGAAACUGGUGAUCUCAAUUUAUUUGGCUUCACCAAAAAAUAGAAAUUUUUAUUAAAGUCCUUCUAUUUUUAAAAAAUUAUAGUAUUUUUUAAUAUUUAUACAAGUAACGUCAUUCUACAUGGCUCAACUAAAAAAAUUAUUUUUUAUCCCGGUUGUUAACUUGAAAUAUUGGUGGUGCCAAACUCUUUGGGUCCACUAAUUUUCACUUUAGAUUUUAGGUCAUUUACGUGUUUAAUAAAAAAUGAGUCAUUUAUAUAAUUAAUUAAAUUUUUUAGGUUAAUUUUAUAAAAAAUGACAUUUUUAAUUCUCCAUUUUCAUGGUUUAAAGUUUGUCGAAUUUUACUUUAAUUAAAAACAUUAUUUGCUAACAUGAUGACAUGUGUUUGAUGUUUGAAAAUGAUAAUUCCUAUAUCCACACUUUUGUCAUCUUCUUCUUUCUUUCAACUUAAAGUAUUAAACAAAGGGACCUCUCAACGAGAAACCCAAUUAACAAAAAAAACAUGUUUUUAUUAGGGUGAGUAUUUGAUCGAGUCAAGUUAAAUCGAGUUAAAAAAAAUUGAAUUAGUCGAGUUGGCGAAUACUAUUUUAGCAAUUGAACUCAAUUUAAAUUUUUUUGAAUCGAGUCAAAAAAUUUCGAGUCAAGUUGAGUCGUAUUAACGAAUCAUAUUAUUUAUACUUAAUGCUAUGUUUAUAUGGACUUAUUAUUUAACUAGUAGACAAAGUACAAGAUUAUUUAAUUACAUAAAUAAAAUAAUUAUUGUACUUUUUAACUUAAUGAGUAAAUAUUUAUCACAACAGCGUAAAAUGGUUUUGACUUUUAACUUUAGAAAAUGUAAGCAUUUAUCAAAAUGACAUAGUUUUACCUUUUCUUAUUUAGAUUUCCAGAUAACUUGAAUUGUAUAAUUCAUAUUUGACUUAAAUUGAAAAUUUUAAUUUUUUAUUUGAGUUGAUCCAAAUAACUUGAUUAACAUAAAUAACUUCAAAUUUUUUAAUUCAAAAUUUAAAAAUUUUAUUAAAUUUUUUGAAUCAAAUGGAAUUUUAUUCGCACUUAAUUAUCAUGUUAUCUUCCUUUCAUUAACUUUACCCCCACUUCCCUGCAAAUAGACAGACCCAAAGACGAGGAAAUCUUUCGCUUUAUUUUGUCUACAAUAUUUAUCUUCUUCCUUUCUUUCUUUUUUUUCUCAAACUAAACUCCCUUUAUAUAUUUAUUUACAACAUUCAAAUCAUUAAUAUUUGGACUUAAAAAAUUGUGUUUGUUAUUUAUUUUUUAUGAGAUAAUAUUUGAUGGAUACAUCUGUUUUCUGUAUCAUUAAUGAAAAAAAUAUUAAAAGAUUGAAAGAUUUCUUAAUCAUUACUUAAAAUUUUAUUUAAACAUAAUUAAAAUUAAUUAUAACUCUACCUCUAUAAUUUUCCCAUCUUCCUCCUCCUAUAUUAACAUAAAAAGAAAAUACUUUAGGGUUUAUUAAUUCUUAUAAUUAAAAUUUAUAUGAUUAAGGUUUGGGUUUAAAGUUAAAAAUUAACUAAAAUUCUAAAAAAAUUAUUAAAAUUUAUAUGAAAUUUUAAUAUAGUGGACAAUUCCUUUCUAUCAAAAAUACUUUUUUUUUCAAAGAAAAUCAUCAAUAAUAUGAAUAUUAGAAGUUUCUUUUUUAGUUAUUGCCCCAUCAAAUUUGACACUUUCAAUGAAUAAUAAUUAGCACUAUAUUUUAGAAUAUUACUUGUUCAAGCAACCAAUUAAAAGAUUUUAAACUUUAAAAAAAUUCACAAAUUUCUCAAAAUCCAUAAUCAUAUAAACUAAGUUUUAACAAGGUAAUAAAAUCAUACCUUCAAAUUUAUUCUGCUAAUAAAAUUAAAUCGCGCCAAUAGUAAUAAAGAACAAGAAAAAGAACUGUCUUCAUUCAAUCUAAGGUUUCUUUUCAAGAUUUUUAAAACUCUAAGUUAAAACUUUUGUAUUGUUAUUAAGAGAUGAAGAUGAUAAAUUAUAAUUACAUUUAAAUAAAAUUUUAAUCAUUUUUUAAUAUUUGACUCAUUAAUGAUGUGGGGAAUAGUGAUGCGUUGAUGGUGUAUAUAGUUUAUGCACCGACAAUGAAUUAAAUAUUAUCUUUUAUUAUAUAUAUAUAUAUUUUAAAUCUUAUGCUAUAUCCUACAUUCACUUGUAGACAUUCAAUCCUACUUGUGAAAUUUUUAAAUUUUACUAGCAGUGUAUAAAAUAUUAAUUUAUUUAAGUGAUUUUUACAUACUUGCAUAUUAUUUUAUACAAUUAAUAUUUUGCAAUUCAACAGAUAAUCAAUCUAAUUAUAUUUAUCAUAUGUAAAGUUUUGUCAAUCAAUAAUUGAGUGAAAAGAAGAAUGAGAUGCUUGACCUAAUUAUGAUAAUGUUAAUGGAUCAAAGAUAACAUUCACAAAAUUUCCCUUUCGGAGCUUUGGUAAGGGAUUGUAUAUUGCAAUGAAAAUCAAUGACAUAAUCUCAUGGAGCACCAAAAUUUAUUCAACCACCUUCAUACACAUGAGCGUAAUGUAAUCCACUGUGACUUGAAAUAUAGAACCCAAAGAAAAAAUUCCAUCAUUGGCCCUUUACUAUUUCCAACUAGAUUUCAUAUCGAUCCAUCGUUAAUCAGAUUUUGUUAAUCAUUUUUCAGCACUACAAGAUGGGUUUUUCCUUUUUACAUUGAAGCAGAAGCCAUUACAGUUUUAUGGUUUUUACCUGUACUCUUUACACCAUUUACAACAUUCACAAAGUCAAACAGGGAAUGCACAGGGAAUUAAGCCUAAAUGAAAGGGUUUCUCUUUCCCACUCUCACUUUACCAGUAUCUGCUUCGAUGUACAUUUCAAUGCCUCUUUGCUAAUGUCUUCAUUAGUCUCUUGAUAAUCUUUCCGAACCACAUUAAGUUCAUAACUGAUAGGACUAAAGGCACAAUGGAUAUUAACAACUGUCCCAAACUAUUAACCUGCUUAACCUGGUUUGAGGAGAAAAUGGCGGUUGGCUGUUAACAUAGAACCAAACUCAUAGAUUUUCAGAAUAAAAUAAAAAAUAAAAAAUUGAUUUUUAAAUGCCAAAUCCAUGUAAACGCAUAAAGAACAAAGCAUGGCUAAGGGUGUUAUAUCGAGAUUUACUAUCGUCAGUCGUGAAGUGAACUUAAGUUUUCUCAGCACUUCAAUAACAAAAUAGACCUAUGUUCUGAAGUUACAUAUGGUAUGCGUCAGCAGUUUAAUAGUUAGAAUUCAAAAUGUCUGGAAAAAUAAUUGAUGCUCGGAAAUAAUAAACACCUAUAGCUAAAACCAGAUAAGAGUUUUGCAGGAAUUUUACCGGAUCAUGGUGCAAGUAGAUAUGGUAAAAUAGAUACAUAAACAGGAGAAUUCUAGCAACCUGCCAAAAACAAAGUGUGCAACUUAUAUGUCUUAGCAACCUGCCAAAAACAAAGUGUGCAACUUAUAUGUCUUAUAACGAGAUCAUUUAGCAUCCUUGUUAGAUAUUCUACCACACUGGCUGGCAACAAUGUGCAUGAUCUCCAUAACCACAUACUUCUCUUAUGAAUACUUGUAAAAUUUCAUAUUUAAAUUGCAAUGUGAACACGUUAGGUAAUUAGUAGUUUGUCAUCUCCUUCUAACUUCGUUGUCUAAAUCAUUUUGAUUGAUUAACUAAUCUUUCGAUUUUAUAUUGUUCAAAAAACUCAAUUUAUCUUCUAUGUGUGUCGAUGUUCAAAAUUACAACUGCUGAUUUUAUUCCACAUUUUGCUGGCCAGGAUGUUGCAUUAGCAUCUGUUUCAAUGAGGCCGAUCCCAUAUUCGCACCAGUUUUGGAGAAGCUUUCACUUUCUGACAUGAAAUACGGAUCUGUGAGGCGUUUUUAUGUAGAAACUCCUGAAGAUAAUGCCAUACCAGUGGUGCUUCAAGAGAGCAUGAUUAACUCAAGCCCACCGGAAAAAGUAUUUCGUCUAAAAGGUGCUGACUACUCACCAUUUUUCUCAAAGCCUCAAGCCUUGCACAAACUAUUUGUAGAGAUCUCGAAACUCACUUCACCUUGAGAGAUUCUAAUUGUCGGAUGUUUCAUGGGAGUCCCCCACUAGGGCAUCAUUUGAUGAGGUAUAGGGAAGUUAUCCUCUCGAAUUUGAGUGAACAUGCAGAUGCACAUACACAUACCGUAAAAAUGGUCUUU
rnacentral:lncRNA from 1 species